CUACCAUGCAAGUCGAACGAUGAAGCCCAGCUUGCUGGGUGGAUUAGUGGCGAACGGGUGAGUAACACGUGGGUGAUCUGCCCUGCACUUCGGGAUAAGCCUGGGAAACUGGGUCUAAUACCGGAUAUGACCAAGGACUGCAUGGUUUUUGGUGGAAAGGUUUACUGGUGCAGGAUGAGCCCGCGGCCUAUCAGCUUGUUGGUGGGGUAAUGGCCUACCAAGGCGACGACGGGUAGCCGGCCUGAGAGGGCGACCGGCCACACUGGGACUGAGACACGGCCCAGACUCCUGCGGGAGGCAGCAGUGGGGAAUAUUGCACAAUGGGCGAAAGCCUGAUGCAGCGACGCCGCGUGAGGGAUGACGGCCUUCGGGUUGUAAACCUCUUUCAGCAGGGACGAAGCGCAAGUGACGGUACCUGCAGAAGAAGCACCGGCCAACUACGUGCCAGCAGCCGCGGUAAUACGUAGGGUGCGAGCGUUGUCCGGAAUUACUGGGCGUAAAGAGCUCGUAGGCGGUUUGUCGCGUCGUCUGUGAAAACCCGCAGCUCAACUGCGGGCUUGCAGGCGAUACGGGCAGACUUGAGUACUGCAGGGGAGACUGGAAUUCCUGGUGUAGCGGUGAAAUGCGCAGAUAUCAGGAGGAACACCGGUGGCGAAGGCGGGUCUCUGGGCAGUAACUGACGCUGAGGAGCGAAAGCGUGGGUAGCGAACAGGAUUAGAUACCCUGGUAGUCCACGCCGUAAACGGUGGGCGCUAGGUGUGGGUUUCCUUCCACGGGAUCCGUGCCGUAGCUAACGCAUUAAGCGCCCCGCCCGGGGAGUACGGCCGCAAGGCUAAAACUCAAAGGAAUUGACGGGGGCCCGCACAAGCGGCGGAGCAUGUGGAUUAAUUCGAUGCAACGCGAAGAACCUUACCUGGGUUUGACAUAUACCGGAUCGCCUCAAAGAUGGGGUUUCCCCUUGUGGUCGGUAUACAGGUGGUGCAUGGCUGUC
rnacentral:rRNA from 1 species